UGCUGCCGAGAAGUUCAUUAAACCCUCCCACCUAGAGGAAGGAGAAGUCGUAACAAGGUUUCCGUUAACUACCUAGCGGAAGUGGCUGUCAAAAGCAGCCGCUAGUGGUGGGCUCUGCUUGCCCACCGCGAGACUGUCAAAUUGCCGGGAAGUCCUGUCUAACACGCUGUAGGUACCGCUGUGGUAGCGAAAGCUGCCUCAGCACCAUAGGGUAAACCUAUGGGUAUGGUAACAAUCCUGCAGCCAGGGAUAACCGGCAGCCAAGCCCUAAGGGGAGGCAAGUGCCAUCCUAUGGGUGCAGUUCACAGACUAAAUGGCAGUCGGGGCUCGCUGCUUGCAAGGCAGUAUGAGCUCUUAAGAUAUAGUCGGGCUGUGCUGAGAAGCACUCUGAUGGAGGAUUGGUCACAAGACCAUGAGAGCCAUCAGAGGCAUUGAUCAUACCCACGUGAGCUAUUGCGUGGGGCUUGUGUGACCACAGGCUCAAUGCCAGACCAACCGAGGUGAACCUGCGGAAGGAUCAUUG
rnacentral:rRNA from 1 species